GACGGAGGGUGCGAGCGUUAUUCGGAAUCAUUGGGCGUAAAGAGCGUGUAGGCGGCCGAUUAAGUCAGGUGUGAAAGCCCGGGGCUCAACCUCGGAAGUGCACUUGAAACUAGUCGGCUUGAGUUCGGGAGAGGGUAGCGGAAUUCCUGGUGUAGAGGUGAAAUUCGUAGAUAUCAGGAGGAACACCGGUGGCGAAGGCGGCUACCUGGACCGAAACUGACGCUGAGACGCGAAAGCGUGGGGAGCAAAC
rnacentral:rRNA from 1 species